ensembl:ncRNA C09B8.18 ncRNA
AAGGAGUGUGCAACAAUGGAAACAAGUCUAGCAAAUUGAAGUGGACAAACCGUUUUUUGCCGAUCGAAAUUGUGAGACGAUGGACAAAUGGAACAAUAGUAAAGAGAAAACUUAAAGAAAGAAAGAAGAGAGGAAAAAAUAAACAAGACACUUUUUUGUUGAUGAUGGUUACCUCU